rnacentral:rRNA from 1 species
GACGAACGCUGGCGGCGUGCUUAACACAUGCAAGUCGAGCGGUAAGGCUCCUUCGGGAGUACACGAGCGGCGAACGGGUGAGUAACACGUGAGCAAUCUGCCCUUCACACUGGGAUAACCCUCGGAAACGAGAGCUAAUACCAGAUAUGACCACUUCGGGCAUCCGAUGGUGGUGGAAAGUUCCGGCGGUGAAGGAUGAGCUCGCGGCCUAUCAGCUUGUUGGUGAGGUAAUGGCUCACCAAGGCUUCGACGGGUAGCCGGCCUGAGAGGGUGACCGGCCACACUGGGACUGAGACACGGCCCAGACUCCUACGGGAGGCAGCAGUAGGGAAUCUUCCACAAUGGGCGCAAGCCUGAUGGAGCAACGCCGCGUGAAUGAAGAAGGUCUUCGGAUCGUAAAGUUCUGUUAUUAGAGAAGAACACGUGUAAGAGUAACUGAUUAUGCGUUGACGGUAUCUAAUCAGCAAGUCACGGCUAACUACGUGCCAGCCGCCGCAGUAACAC